UGCCCUUUCUUUUUAUUUUUUAUUUUCCUGUUCUCUCAUUUCUAUGCGGAGUGUUGUACUCUGAGAGCUUGAUCCACCACGACGUUGUUUUAGUCUGACUUCUGAGUUCGUCUUUUUGGUACUUCUCUCUAUUGGUUAAAUGGUUCCCAAGGUUCAUAUUGAACCAGGUUUCGAAUAAAUUGAUGUUUUCUGGAAAAAUCAGGUGGUGGAUUUGAGAUUCUUUGCUUUUUUUUCCUGGGUAUGGAGCACCUUCCUGUUGAAGUCAUAGGGAACAUACUUUCCCGGCUUGGAGCGGCCCGAGAUAUUGUAAUAGCCUCUGCAACUUGUCGGAAAUGGCGAGAAGCCUUCUGCUAUCACCUUCACACUCUUUCAUUCAAUUCAAAAGAUUGGCCCUUGUACCAUGAUCUCACUACCAGUCAAUUAGAAAUCCUUAUAACUGAAACAAUAUUCCAAACCACGGGGUUACAGGGUCUAUCAAUUUUAAUGGACGAGGUUGAUGAGUUUUCGGCUUCCAUGGUUAUUGCUUGGCUUAUGUAUACCAGGGAGACUUUGCGCAGCUUGUGGUAUAAUGUUCGAACUACACCGAAUGUCAAUAUUCUUGAAAUAUGUGGGAGGCAGAAGCUUGAAACGUUGUUCUUGGCCCAUAAUUUGAUCAUGGGGGUUGAACCCAAUUACCAGAGAUUCUCUUGCCUGAAAUCCCUAUCUCUGAGUUCUGUCAGUAUUUCGGCUUUGGAUAUGAGUCUUUUGCUCACUGCCUGCCCAAAAAUUGAGAUUUUGGACCUUGUCAAUCUAGAGAUAGCAAUGUCAGAUACACAGGUUGCGGUUGAACUGCGCAGUCCCACAUUAAAGAGUAUUUAUGUUGAAGAAAUCAGUUUGGACAAGUUCAUAUUGGAGGCUGAUGGUCUUGAGCAUUUGCAUUUGAAAGAUUGCGUCCUUGAGCUCUUUGAACUGGUUGGUAAGGGUACUUUGAAGCAGUACAAGAUUGAUGAUGUUAGUUUUAUACACUUUGAUAUUGGUGAGAGUCUUGAAAAUCUUGAGGUUGUAGAUAUCAACAACUUUACAAUCAUUUGGCCAAAGUUCUACAAGAUGAUAUUAAGAUCAUCAAAAUUGAGAAGGUUACGGCUUUGGGAUGUGUUCUUUGACGACGAGGAUGAGAUUUUGGAUUUGGAAACAAUUGCUGUUUGCUUCCCACAGCUAAGCUAUCUUUCUUUGCGCUAUGACUUAAGAGAUAGAGUGCUUCAUUAUGGUUUACAGGGCUCUUCUCAUUUGGAGAAUGUGAUUGAGAUGGAGCUUGGAUGGACUGAUAUCAAUGAGCUCUUCUUAGAUUGGGCUGAGGGGUUACUUCAACGAUGCCCAAAUCUUAGGAAGUUGGUCAUUCAUGAAGUUAUUUCGGAGAUCAAAACCCAUGAAGAAUACCAGAUGUUGGGCAACUUUACAUCAUCGAUUGUACAGCUUAUGAGGAAAUAUAUGCACGUAGAGGUUCAGUUCUACUAUGAGUAGAAACUGUAUGAAAUGUCUUGUUGAAAAUUAAAGUUUUGGUUCAGUAUAAAUUGUACAAGGACUUAGGCAGGGUACACGUAAGGGAAGUGUCAUCCAGUUGAGAUUGGAUGAUGAAAGAGCAUUCAAACUUACAUGGUGGCCAUCAACAAAGCAUGUAUGAAGUUUUGGUAAUUGUAAUUAGGUUUAGCAAAGGUGGAGCAGAGCCAACAUUUUCUUUGGGUGGUGGAAUAUGAUAACAGCAACAGCUCUAGUAAGUUUCUGCUUGAAUGAAUUUGAUUGCAGUAUUGAUCAUUGCA